GAGAGAGAAAGAGAGAGAGAGAGGACACAUAGAUAAGGCACAAAGGGAGCCGUAGAUAACCAACAGUACCAAACCAAAGCAGCCUCCCAAGCCAGGGAUUUUUCCAUGGCUCUGGGCAUUAGGAACACAGGAGGAGGAAGGGUAGAGUUGGCGCUGGCUUCCCAACGUGCCCCAGCAGCGUGGGGUCUACAUCAAGUACCCAGUAUAGGGUCCCGUCCAUGUCCCCAUUACCUUUUGCCACAGGUCUGGUGACAGUGAGCCACGCAGACUGGUUAGCUUCACCAAUAUAAUUGGAAACCUUACACACAUACUCCCCGCUCUGGGCCUCUGUCACAUUGAACAGGGUCAGCACCUCCGCAUCCGAGCUAUUAAUCCCCGAAUGCUGGAACAAACCAACGACACCACCAGUCAGUUGGGCAAACACUGGGAUGUGGCCACGCUGUGCUCCCGGGGUGACUGUCAGUCAGGCCCCAGGAGCCAAGGGCAGGGAGACACUGAGACCUACCAUCUUCUCUUCUGAGCGAGACAAACAUGAAACCACUAAUACGAAAACGGAAGAGGAAGUGGGGAGGGGGAAGGAAGAAGAAAAAGGGAAACGGAAAGAGGAGAAAAAAAAAGAGGGAAAAGGAGAGGAAGGAAGGGGAGGGAGGGGCCGGUGUCCCAAAGCAAAUAUUCUGUGUGUGUGUUAAACUUCCGCUACCAGACCAGGGUGGGGACUUGUAAUUGGAGACAGAGCUCCAAGGCCCAGAGCUAGAGCUGGCCCCUUUCUUCCAGAAUAUUGUCAGCACCAGUGGCAAAGAAAAGGGACAGCCAGUAAAUCUCCUGGACAGCCAAGGCAGGGGAGGAGGAGGAGGAGGAGGAGGUCUAACUUCUGGUUAUUCCUGCGGCCAGAUCCACUGGAGACUUAGCCAAUUACCUCCCUGGAUUAAUGGAGCAUUCAGGGACUAUGAGAGUCUGGGGAGUGAGAGGAAAAAGGAAGAAAAUGCCAUUACUCCUCAAACGGCUUAGAAUUGAUAGGUGGCCUUUACUUUUCCAACUGUUUAAGCCACGCCCUUAUCAUUGACCUUGUUCGUAACUUGGGAAACAUUUGCUGAUGGAAGGCUGUGUGGUGCUAGGCCACAAGCAAGCCAGAGUCUCAAUGCCUUCCUUGAGAAAUUGAUCCAAGGUCCCGAAUCACUCUCAAGGCUCUUUAGAAGCCAGCAAUUAUUAUCACCACCCCCCACCCUCUGCUCCCAGCUCAUCCCCACCUUCUGCUGUCACCAGCCUGUGGCUAGAUCCCUACCAAGAUGGAGUAUGUGCCUUAUGGGGAAGGCUGAGCCCUAAUCCCAGGCACUGAGCCCCAGGGGACAUCUGGUCACCUUCCCAGCAUGCUGGCCAAGAAUGAGGCUAAGAUUACCUUCAGGAUCUGGACAUACGGCAGGUUGUCUGGGCCAAUCUUACUCCCAUUCACCUCAAUGUGCUUCAACCACUGGAUGUGAGGCUGUGGAUCACUGUACACCUUACACAUGAACUCCACAUUGCUGCCCAGGGCUACUGUCUUGUUGGCAGGUAACCCUGCCUGAAGGAUGGGCCGGUGAGGAGAUCGCUCUGCAGAGGAAGAGAGAGGAUGGACGUGUUAGACUCGUCAAUGGUCUGGUCCUGGCUGGGAUGCUGGGAUGCUGGCAGAGCUGACUCUGGCCAGAUCUGUGCUCAACCUUCCAUCUGCUCUUCCUCCGAGGCCCUAACUGAACAGUGGCUCACCACAGCUGUCCUUUGACAUCGGCCUUCUUAGCAGGCUACAAAAUCGUCCCAGGCCAGAAUGCUGGCUUGUCCUAGCUGAAGCACGGCAACAUGCGAACAAGCAAUGAGAAGCCGUGCGUGGUGGCACUUAGGACCCAAGACUGGAGGACUGGAGUUCCAGGCCAGCCUGGGGUACAGAGGGAAGAAACAGUCUCCAAAAAGUCAGAAGGAAUGAGAAAGAGACUCCAGGUGAGAUGGGACCUAUUUGGGAACCUUGGGGAUCAUCAGGUCUCGGAGGAAGAGAGUCUCAUCGGAGCAGCUUAUCAGCAUAGGAAAUGCCUAACGGUGUCCAUGAGCCACACGAACGCUCUCACACGGGGUAUUUCUUGGCACAAGUCCAGUGAGUUUGUUGUUCUCACGUUCUCUUGUGGGGAGGUGACUGGUUUUUCCUUUUAGGACUUGGGGGCUGAGGACGUGACUCGAUGUGGGUUUAGCAUGCAGAAAGACAAGGGAAGGGGGCAUGGGUUGUAUGCACUGACAGCUUAAAACAUACCUACGCUCUUUUAUCUGACCAUUUCAUUUCCAGUAAUCUGUCCUGAGAAAGGUCCUUUUUAAGGCGCCAGGCACGGUGGCACACACAUUUCUUUAAUCCUGACACUCGGGAGGCAGAGGCAGGUAGAUCUGUCUGAGUCUGGGACAGCCUGCAUACUGAGUUCCAUAACCAGGGCUAAGGAGAGAGACCCUGUCUCAAAAACCAAAGAAAGAAAGGAGGGAGAGAGGAGCUAAUUGGCUGGUGAGGUGCUCCGUGGGUAAAAGGAUUUGCCACCAAGCCUGACACCUGAGUCUGUCCUUCAGGACCCACAGAGUUGGAGAAAACUGACUCCUCCAAGUUUUCCUCUG